AGAGUUUGAUUCUGGCUCAGAACGAACGCUGGCGGCAGGCCUAACACAUGCAAGUCGAGCGCACUCUUCGGAGUGAGCGGCGGACGGGUUAGUAACGCGUGGGAACAUACCCUUUUCUACGGAAUAGCCUCGGGAAACUGAGAGUAAUACCGUAUACGCCCUUCGGGGGAAAGAUUUAUCGGAGAAGGAUUGGCCCGCGUUUGAUUAGAUAGUUGGUGGGGUAAUGGCCUACCAAGUCUACGAUCAAUAGCUGGUUUGAGAGGAUGAUCAGCAACACUGGGACUGAGACACGGCCCAGACUCCUACGGGAGGCAGCAGUGGGGAAUCUUAGACAAUGGGCGCAAGCCUGAUCUAGCCAUGCCGCGCGAGUGACGAAGGCCUUAGGGUCGUAAAGCUCUUUCGCCAGAGAUGAUAAUGACAGUAUCUGGUAAAGAAACCCCGGCUAACUCCGUGCCUGCAGCCGCGGUAAUACGGAGGGGGUUAGCGUUGUUCGGAAUUACUGGGCGUAAAGCGUACGUAGGCGGAUUGGAAAGUAGGGGGUGAAAUCCCAGGGCUCAACCCUGGAACUGCCUCCUAAACUAUCAGUCUAGAGUUCGAGAGAGGUGAGUGGAAUUCCAAGUGUAGAGGUGAAAUUCGUAGAUAUUUGGAGGAACACCAGUGGCGAAGGCGGCUCACUGGCUCGAUACUGACGCUGAGGUACGAAAGUGUGGGGAGCAAACAGGAUUAGAUACCCUGGUAGUCCACACCGUAAACGAUGAAUGCCAGACGUCGGGGGGCUUGCCCUUCGGUGUCACACCUAACGGAUUAAGCAUUCCGCCUGGGGAGUACGGUCGCAAGAUUAAAACUCAAAGGAAUUGACGG
rnacentral:rRNA from 1 species